rnacentral:rRNA from 1 species
AGGGUUUGAUUCUGGCUCAGGACGAACGCUGGCGGCGUGCCUAACACAUGCAAGUCGAACGAGAAUCAUAAGCCUGAGACUUCGGUUGAAGGGUUAUGAGGACAGUGGCGGACGGGUGAGUAACGCGUGAGCAACCUGCCCUUCGGAGGGGGACAACAGCUGGAAACGGCUGCUAAUACCGCAUGACAUAUGUUUACCGCAUGGUAGAUAUAUCAAAGAAUUAUCGCCGAAGGAUGGGCUCGCGUCUGAUCAGCUAGUUGGUGGGGUAACGGCUCACCAAGGCGACGAUCAGUAGCCGGACUGAGAGGUUGAACGGCCACAUUGGGACUGAGAUACGGCCCAG